rnacentral:rRNA from 1 species
UGGCAACAAUAGUGCUGUGGUCCCACCUGACUCCAUAUCGAACUCAGAAGUGAAACGCAGUUACGCCGAUGGUAGUAUGGGGAUUCCCCAUGUGAGAGUAGAGCAUCGUCGGGGU